GCAGUCGAGGGGCAGCGGGGUAGCAAUACUGCCGGCGACCGGCAAACGGGUGCGGAACACGUACGCAACUUUCCUUUAAGUGGAGCAUAGCUCUCGGAAACGGGAAUUAAUACUCCGUAACAUUAUGAAGUGGCAUCAUUUUAUAAUUAUAGAUUAAUCGCUUAAAGAUGGGCGUGCGGCUGAUUAGGUAGUUGGUGCGGGUAACGGCCCACCAAGCCUUCGAUCAGUAACUGGUGUGAGAGCACGACCAGUCACACGGGCACUGAGACACGGGCCCGACUCCUACGGGAGGCAGCAGUAAGGAAUAUUGGUCAAUGGACGCAAGUCUGAACCAGCCAUGCCGCGUGAAGGAUGACGGCCCUCUGGGUUGUAAACUUCUUUUAUCUGGGACGAAAAACGGUCAUUCCUGAUCACUUGACGGUACCAGAGGAAUAAGCACCGGCUAACUCCGUGCCAGCAGCCGCGGUAAUACGGAGGGUGCAAGCGUUAUCCGGAUUUACUGGGUUUAAAGGGUGCGUAGGUGGGUAGGUAAGACAGUGGUGAAAUCUUCAAGCUUAACUUGGAAACUGCCAUUGAUACUAUUUAUCUUGAAUACUCUGGAGGUAAGCGGAAUAUGUCAUGUAGCGGUGAAAUGCUUAGAUAUGACAUAGAACACCAAUUGCGAAGGCAGCUUACUACAUAGUUAUUGACACUGAGGCACGAAAGCGUGGGGAUCAAACAGGAUUAGAUACCCUGGUAGUCCACGCCCUAAACGAUGGAUACUCGACAUAUGCGAUACACAGUAUGUGUCUGAGCGAAAGCAUUAAGUAUCCCACCUGGGAAGUACGAUCGCAAGAUUGAACUCAAAGGAAUUGACGGGGGUCCG
rnacentral:rRNA from 1 species